rnacentral:lncRNA from 1 species
CAGCAGGCAGAAAUGAGUUUAUUGCAUUAGAAAAAACACCGAAGAAAACCAGCAAACACCUCCGUACUAGACAGUUAUUAGUUUGACUCAAGGGCAUAAAGAAAACUCAGAUACUAGAUUUACUUCUGGGAGGGGGUGAUGGUCUCAUCCCUCCUCCUUCCCUAUCCCUUUAAACCAAUGGACCUCUAGAGGUGUCCACUGUGCAAUACAAGUACGUGACUCAUUUCCCACUGUGCUUGCCUGUUCACAUCCAGGCGGAGUUAGCCGGCCACAAUGAGAAUGCUCCUGAGGUGCUGGGACAGACAGAAAUAUGAGGAUGGGGGUAGGCAGUUGAAGCCUGAGCCUGAGUUUACAGUUAGUGACAGUGGGGCUCCCAUUGGGAGGGAGAGCUUGCCUUCCCAUGGAGCUCUGGGAAAACUGCUCAGUGAUCCCUCGCUCUCUCCCCACAAACCCUAGGGCACAGGCAAUGGCACAAAUGGCUGCUAGUAUAAAGGGGGGUGCUGUUCAAGGAAAUGAGUGACUCAAAUUCUCUCAGGGGAGCUGCUCCUGGGCCUAAGGGUGCCUGCUGGAAGAAGCAAACCAGCUGAAACUGGAUCUGGAAGAGGAGAAAGGAAAAAAAGGAGCUGUGAUGCCCAGAACCCCCUGGAUGGAGGGGAGACCCCAGGCAGAGGGGUCUGGAGCAGGACCCUGGAAGACAGAGCCGGGCCAGGCAAGCUGGAAAAGGGAACAACACUGGUGGGAAACAGAGCACUGGCCAAGACCAACCUGCUACCCUCCCAGAAGAAACCCAGCCUCAGAAAUUCUUUCUCUUUGGGCCCAAUUCUGCUAGUAGAUCACGAUUAUACAACAGUCCCUGCUAGUUUCUGCUCUAAUCUAUUAUUUCCAUGCACACUGGCAAAUCAGUGGGUCUUGAGAAGAAUUAAACUUUCAAUCAUUUGGCCUCUACAAGUUCCCAAAUGUCACUUGACAUCCCAGCUGGUCAUGCCCCUGGUCAGGUCGCAGGCAAACACUAAGGCAGAAUGACAGCUCCUCUAGCUGAGACUCUGAUGAUGCCAAACUGUGAUGGCUGAUGGCAAAGAUAGCAGCAGAUGGGGCCAGAAAUGAGCAGCAGCUUUUUGGAGAGGAAAGGCCUGUGCUGCAGGCCAGACUUCCAGGAAGAAGCAACAUAAUUCAAGUCCGUGAAGUGGCAAGAAGUUGUGGCAGAAGGGGCCCAAGGAUGUCAGACCUGAGACUCGGGUACCUGGCAGCUCUGAGUCCCUUCUUCAUGCUCACUUUCCCAAAAUCUAACUAAUGGAGGUUCAUGUGAAGAGAGGGAAUCUGAAAGUCUCUCUGGAUUAGAGACUCCCAGACUGGAAAAUGCCCACUCAUGCCCCAACCUGCCUUUCUAAAGUCAGAAUGACAAUGGAAAUAACGUGUGCCUUCAAAACACAUUUAGGAUAAGGGAAAGUCCCUAUCAGAAACGAUUCUAAAUUUUCUUGCCACCUUGAUUCCACUUCAUUAUUUUAUUUUUUUGAGAUGGAGUCUCACUCUGUCGCCCAGGCUGGAGUGCACUGGUACGAUCUCGGCUCAUCGCAAUCUCUGC